rnacentral:rRNA from 1 species
GAUGAACGCUGGCGGCGUGCCUAAUACAUGCAAGUCGAGCGAAUGGAUUAAGAGCUUGCUCUUAUGAAGUUAGCGGCGGACGGGUGAGUAACACGUGGGUAACCUGCCCAUAAGACUGGGAUAACUCCGGGAAACCGGGGCUAAUACCGGAUAACAUUUUGAACCGCAUGGUUCGAAAUUGACAGGCGGCUUCGGCUGUCACUUAUGGUUGGACCCGCGGCGCAUUAGCUAGUUGGUGAGGUAACGGCUCACCAAGGCAACGAUGCGUAGCCGACCUGAGAGGGUGAUCGGCCACACUGGGACUGAGACACGGCCCAGACUCCUACGGGAGGCAGCAGUAGGGAAUCUUCCGCAAUGGACGAAAGUCUGACGGAGCAACGCCGCGUGAGUGGUGAAGGCUUUCGGGUCGUAAAACUCUGUUGUUAGGGAAGAACAAGUGCUAGUUGAAUAAGCUGGCACCUUGACGGUACCUAACCAGAAAGCCACGGCUAACUACGUGCCAGCCGCCGCCGUAA